UGGCGGACGGGUGAGUAACGCGUGGGGAACCUGCCCUGUACAGGGGGAUAACACUUAGAAAUAGGUGCUAAUACCGCAUAAGCGCACAGUAUCGCAUGAUACAGUGUGAAAAACUCCGGUGGUACAGGAUGGACCCGCGUCUGAUUAGCUGGUUGGCGGGGUAACGGCCCACCAAGGCGACGAUCAGUAGCCGGCCUGAGAGGGUGAACGGCCACAUUGGGACUGCGACACGGCCCAAACUCCUACGGAAGGCAGCAG
rnacentral:rRNA from 1 species